AUUGAACGCUGGCGGCAGGCCUAACACAUGCAAGUCGAGCGGCAGCGGAAAGUAGCUUGCUACUUUGCCGGCGAGCGGCGGACGGGUGAGUAAUGUCUGGGAACCUGCCUGAUGGAGGGGGAUAACUACUGGAAACGGUAGCUAAUACCGCAUAAUGUCGCAAGACCAAAGAGGGGGACCUUCGGUUCUCUUGCCAUCAGAUGUGCCCAGAUGGGAUUAGCUAGUAGGUGGGGUAACGGCUCACCUAGGCGACGAUCCCUAGCUGGUCUGAGGGGAUGACCAGCCAAACGGGAACGGAGACACGGUCCAGACUCCUACGGGAGGCAGCAGUGGGGAAUAUUGCACAAUGGGCGCAAGCCUGAUGCAGCCAUGCGGCGUGUAUGAAGAAGGCCUUCGGGUUGUAAAGUACUUUCAGCGGGGAGGAAGGUGCUGAGGUUAAUAACCCCAGCAAUUGACGUUACCCGCAGAAGAAGCACCGGCUAACUCCGUGCCAGCAGCCGCCGUAACAC
rnacentral:rRNA from 1 species